UCAUUUUGGAUUUUUUUUUUAAAUUUUCCUACAAUUUUCAAGACAACUAAUACGCGAUUGUUUGAAACAACUUUUUAGAAAGUGCCUCCUUCGCCUUCAAUAUAUUUCGCGAUUUAGGAUGUAAAAAAAUGAUUCGAUAAAUAAUUUGUUACCCCUAAUGGGCUUGCAAUGUAUUGCAUCAUAAAGAUUCAAUUUGUUUUGAAAUUUAUAGUGAAAUGUUAUGCGGAACAUUUUCUUCAUUGGCCUUAAGUUUCAAAUAUGAAUAAUUUUGGAAGAUUUCAGCUAAAUUUCUAAAAGCUAUUGGAUUUCGUUUGUUUGUAGACCUUUAGUGAAAUUUAGUAACGAUAAUUUUCUCUGUUGGCAUUAAGUUCCAAAAGUGAAGAAUUGGGGAAGACUUUUGCGAAUUUCAAGAUAUUUUAAUGGAAAUAAAAAUAAGAAUUAUGAAUGUUAUUAUUUCGAAUUGAUUUCUCCUUUUUUGGUGGUAUUUGUAGUUCCUACGAAUUUCGUUUGUUUGGAGACCUCUAGUGAAAUUUAACUUAGAAUAUUUUCUUCAUUGGCUUCAAGUGCCAAAAAUAAAGCGUUGUGCCAGUUUUUGUUUCAAUUCAAAACAAAUCACUGGAAGUAGAAAUAUCAAGGAAUUCUAAAAAUAAUUAUUUUGCAUUUGAUGCCUCCAUUUUAUAUGGUAUUUUAAUUAACUACAGAGAGUUCUCAUAGAGUUCUCAUUGAUCCGAUAUAUAUUUGGGUGUCUCAUUUGUCAAAUAUUUUCCCUUUGACAUUGGGUUUUUUUGUAGUUUAGUCAAUUUCAAAAUUUUCCAAUCUUUAAUUUUCUUUUUGUUUCUUGACAAUGCCAUCCUUGUCUGCAAGCGUGCUAGAAUCUUCACAUCAAAAUGUAUUCCAAGAUUAUUGUCGAUUUUUUCUUUUGAAUGUUUGUAAUCCUCCUCCUAUAUUAUUUUUAAUUUUAAUUUUUUUUUUCGAAACUGACAGCUGUUGACAUUCAGCUUAAGCCGGAGUUGCAUAUCUCAACAUAUUUCAUCACUGCAAGCGUACUUCUUCACAUCGAAAUCUAUUCCAACAUUAUUGUCGAUUUUUUCCUUUUGAAUGUUUGAAAUCCUCCGUCAAUCUUUUCUUCAUUUUAAUGCUUUUUUCGAAACUGACAGCUGUUGACAGCCAACUUCAGCGGGAGUUGCAUAUCUCAACAUAUUUCAUCACUUUCUGGCUUUGUCCAUCACAAGCUUCUUGAAAAGUUGAAUUUUUUCGCGAACAUUUAGUUUCUAAAAGCAAAAUAAAGAGACCGAAACUUCUACGUCCGAUUCAUGGGUAAAGAAAUUGAAAAAUGUUUGAAUCUACAAUAAACAACAAAGCCGGACCUAUUUUGAAAAUAUUCAACUUCAAUGUCGGUUAACAUGAUUUUCAAAGGCGGUAAAUUUUAAAUUUUUAGUUUCAAAUUUUUUCAUUUUGGAUUUUUUUUUUUAAAUUUUCCUACAAUUUUCAAGACAACUAAUACGCGAUUGUUUGAAACAACUUUUUAGAAAGUGCCUCCUUCGCCUUCAAUAUAUUUCGCGAUUUAGGAUGUAAAAAAAUGAUUCGAUAAAUAAUUUGUUACCCCUAAUGGGCUUGCAAUGUAUUGCAUCAUAAAGAUUCAAUUUGUUUUGAAAUUUAUAGUGAAAUGUUAUGCGGAACAUUUUCUUCAUUGGCCUUAAGUUUCAAAUAUGAAUAAUUUUGGAAGAUUUCAGCUAAAUUUCUAAAAGCUAUUGGAUUUCGUUUGUUUGUAGACCUUUAGUGAAAUUUAGUAACGAUAAUUUUCUCUGUUGGCAUUAAGUUCCAAAAGUGAAGAAUUGGGGAAGACUUUUGCGAAUUUCAAGAUAUUUUAAUGGAAAUAAAAAUAAGAAUUAUGAAUGUUAUUAUUUCGAAUUGAUUUCUCCUUUUUUGGUGGUAUUUGUAGUUCCUACGAAUUUCGUUUGUUUGGAGACCUCUAGUGAAAUUUAACUUAGAAUAUUUUCUUCAUUGGCUUCAAGUGCCAAAAAUAAAGCGUUGUGCCAGUUUUUGUUUCAAUUCAAAACAAAUCACUGGAAGUAGAAAUAUCAAGGAAUUCUAAAAAUAAUUAUUUUGCAUUUGAUGCCUCCAUUUUAUAUGGUAUUUUAAUUAACUACAGAGAGUUCUCAUAGAGUUCUCAUUGAUCCGAUAUAUAUUUGGGUGUCUCAUUUGUCAAAUAUUUUCCCUUUGACAUUGGGUUUUUUUGUAGUUUAGUCAAUUUCAAAAUUUUCCAAUCUUUAAUUUUCUUUUUGUUUCUUGACAAUGCCAUCCUUGUCUGCAAGCGUGCUAGAAUCUUCACAUCAAAAUGUAUUCCAAGAUUAUUGUCGAUUUUUUCUUUUGAAUGUUUGUAAUCCUCCUCCUAUAUUAUUUUUAAUUUUAAUUUUUUUUUCGAAACUGACAGCUGUUGACAUUCAGCUUAAGCCGGAGUUGCAUAUCUCAACAUAUUUCAUCACUGCAAGCGUACUUCUUCACAUCGAAAUCUAUUCCAACAUUAUUGUCGAUUUUUUCCUUUUGAAUGUUUGAAAUCCUCCGUCAAUCUUUUCUUCAUUUUAAUGCUUUUUUCGAAACUGACAGCUGUUGACAGCCAACUUCAGCGGGAGUUGCAUAUCUCAACAUAUUUCAUCACUUUCUGGCUUUGUCCAUCACAAGCUUCUUGAAAAGUUGAAUUUUUUCGCGAACAAUUAGUUUCUAAAAGCAAAAUAAAGAGACCGAAACUUCUACGUCCGAUUCAUGGGUAAAGAAAUUGAAAAAUGUUUGAAUCUACAAUAAACAACAAAGCCGGACCUAUUUUGAAAAUAUUCAACUUCAAUGUCGGUUAACAUGAUUUUCAAAGGCGGUAAAUUUUAAAUUUUUAGUUUCAAAUUUUUUCAUUUUGGAUUUUUUUUUUUAAAUUUUCCUACAAUUUUCAAGACAACUAAUACGCGAUUGUUUGAAACAACUUUUUAGAAAGUGCCUCCUUCGCCUUCAAUAUAUUUCGCGAUUUAGGAUGUAAAAAAAUGAUUCGAUAAAUAAUUUGUUACCCCUAAUGGGCUUGCAAUGUAUUGCAUCAUAAAGAUUCAAUUUGUUUUGAAAUUUAUAGUGAAAUGUUAUGCGGAACAUUUUCUUCAUUGGCCUUAAGUUUCAAAUAUGAAUAAUUUUGGAAGAUUUCAGCUAAAUUUCUAAAAGCUAUUGGAUUUCGUUUGUUUGUAGACCUUUAGUGAAAUUUAGUAACGAUAAUUUUCUCUGUUGGCAUUAAGUUCCAAAAGUGAAGAAUUGGGGAAGAC